GCUGGGGGAGGGCCCUCUCCUGCGGAAUAGAGGGACGCCCCCCAGGGAAGCACAAAUGCACUUUUAUUACUGCAGCGUGUCUCUCAGUAUGGAUCAUGAGAGAUCUACAAGAAUUUCUCUAGGACUGAAGACAUUUGGAAGCCAAGCCUGGAUUCAAGACUUUAAAUCACUGAACAUUAAGAAAUACUUAAGGGCCACUAAGUGACGAGGGCAGUGCUAGCACUGCAGAUACUGCAUUUAAGACUGAAAGGUUUCUGAUCCUUAGGAAGGUUACAUUCUAAAAUAAGAUUCUUAUAAUAAAUAAACAAGAAUAAAGAUGAGUACAGCUGGA